rnacentral:rRNA from 1 species
GUGGGGAAUAUUGGACAAUGGGCGCAAGCCUGAUCCAGCCAUGCCGCGUGAGUGAUGAAGGCCCUAGGGUUGUAAAGCUCUUUCACCGGUGAAGAUAAUGACGGUAACCGGAGAAGAAGCCCCGGCUAACUUCGUGCCAGCAGCCGCGGUAAUACGAAGGGGGCUAGCGUUGUUCGGAAUUACUGGGCGUAAAGCGCACGUAGGCGGGUAUUUAAGUCAGGGGUGAAAUCCCAGAGCUCAACUCUGGAACUGCCUUUGAUACUGGGUACCUAGAGUAUGGAAGAGGUAAGUGGAAUUCCGAGUGUAGAGGUGAAAUUCGUAGAUAUUCGGAGGAACACCAGUGGCGAAGGCGGCUUACUGGUCCAUUACUGACGCUGAGGUGCGAAAGCGUGGGGAGCAAACAGGAUUAGAUACCCCGGUAGUCC